GGAAGUGUGGCCGAGUGGUUUAAGGCAGCGGUCUUGAAAACCGCCGGGUGUAACAGCCCCCAGAGUUCGAAUCUCUGCGCUUCCG
rnacentral:tRNA from 3 species